GUGGGAAAUCUGCCGAGUAGCGGGGGACAACGUUUGGAAACGAACGCUAAUACCGCAUAACGAUGAGAAUCGCAUGAUUCUGAUUUAAAAGAAGCAACUGCUUCACUACUUGAUGAUCCCGCGUUGUAUUAGCUAGUUGGUAGUGUAAAGGACUACCAAGGCGAUGAUACAUAGCCGGCCUGAGAGGGUGAACGGCCACACUGGGACUGAGACACGGCCCGGACUCCUACGGGANGCAGCAGUAGGGAAUCUUCGGCAAUGGGGGCAACCCUGACCGAGCAACGCCGCGUGAGUGAAGAAGGUUUUCGGAUCGUAAAACUCUGUUGUUAGAGAAGAACGUUAAGUAGAGUGGAAAGUUACUUAAGUGACGGUAUCUAACCAGAAAGGGACGGCUAACUACGUGCCAGCAGCCGCGGUAAUACGUAGGUCCC
rnacentral:rRNA from 1 species